UACGUAGGGGGCAAGCGUUAUCCGGAUUCACUGGGUGUAAAGGGAGCGUAGACGGACGCUUAAGUCAGCGGUAAAAUUGCGGGGCUCAACCUCGUCGAGCCGUUGAAACUGGGUGCCUUGAGUGGGCGAGAAGUACGCGGAAUGCGUGGUGUAGCGGUGAAAUGCAUAGAUAUCACGCAGAACUCCGAUUGCGAAGGCAGCGUACCGGCGCCCAACUGACGCUGAAGCACGAAGGCGUGGGUAUCGAACAGG
rnacentral:rRNA from 1 species